AUUUCAUAUUUUACAAUAGUUACUAGUUACGGUAAUUUUGUCAGUGUAUCUUACAACACAACGUUUAGUAUGUUGCUUUUAAACUGAGGAUUAUGACUUUGUUCCGGGGUUUGUUAAAGAGCUUAUUUUGGGGUAAUUGAUUGUCGGGUGCGAACCAAUUUUUUAAGUCAACAGUAUUUGUUGUUGUAGUUAAUUUUUUUUUUCAUUUAACAUGAUUAAGCAGUAUGAAGAAUCGGUGUCUUCGUCCAUCUUCGCUCCGUCUGGGUCAAAAUUCUCGGAAAAUAAUUUGAGAAAGAUCCGAGAAAGAUCCAACCAAAUUAGAUGAAGUGUCACUGUUAGGGUUUGAAGGAAUCCAUGUGAGGUGAUGACAUUCUGCAGGUUUCGAUGACGCCUGAUCGCGGAUUUCUCGUGCGAAAUCUUUACAGAACACCUUAUUAUCCGCCCAACAAGAGGAGGAAUGCGUUGCCUAAAAGGAUUUUUACCAUCAGAAACAUUGACUCUGAAUUCUGGGCAAAAUGACUACAUAUCAGCGAAAGCUUCUGGCUCUAUCAAUUACGUGACCAAACCCGUGUCAGCCAGUGUCAACACUAAAACACUAAAAUACUAAAAUACUGUCCGAUUACAAUCGUCCUCUGACGCGUUGUUUACACAUGCACAUUUUUGGCUGAUGACAACUAAAGGUCGGCAACCUUGAUUAGUAACGGAGAUCUUGGAUAAUAACUUCUACAUCCUUCCAGUUUCAUCUUCUCGAGGGCGAGCCGACAAAAAAAGAAAAAACCCGCAGGGCCAACGUCACGAGCUGAUGUAUCAUAAAAUGACAAACAUAUACGAACUGCUGUAUCGCGUACAAGUGCUCUAAAAUCGGAUGAACCGAAAAUUUAUGACUUCAUAAAACGUUGUACGUAGGGCCUCCUUCAGUACAGCCUGUUAGCAGGCUCUCUCUGAUUGAGCCCUCCAGAUGGAGCCUUUUACGUUCACAGGCUUACGUCAGUAGGGGGGUCCGUUAAACUUCGGAAGGCCUCCGUACUCUCGAAGCCAUCGUCAAUUGAGGACAUUGAGAAGGAUCGGAGAUCGGACAUGAAAUCAUGUUACGAAACUCGAAGGAGCGGCGGAAAAUGAGCCUAAGAUUAUCUCGUCAAUAUCAGACCUUCAAUUCUGUGUCAACAUAGGAGAGACUUCACAUGUAUUACAUGUGUAUAUUAUCAUAAAUAUUGACACGGUUACAGAACAGUCCGAAAAAGGCUAGUCGAACCAUGAGAAGGCUUUACAUGAUCCCCAAUGAGCAAGGGAUCUGGAGAAUCCCAGCUUGUGGUUUAAACACUGCACCCUGAGAGACCAACCUGAGAAUAUGAGUUCGGAUCUAUACUAAUCAGUGGUAGAUUUCACCGGAAGUCCAGCGCUUCGGAAACGAUCUAAAUGAUCCUUGGCAAGCUUUAAUGAUGAAUCAGGAAUUCAGAAGGGCAAAUUAAUGGUUUACGAUGGAGUGGUUAAAUUUGUUUCUGGUAUGUAAAAUGAGCAAAAAUGGCGAAAUUCAUUCAGGCGGGAAGCGUGGAAACCGCGUCACUAUUCGUGAUUUUUCAUGAGUUCUUACAGCUUCUUAUCGGUUUAGCGAUUCUAAACAUACACUUUUGAUACAUGUACCGUUAGCAAUUUUAAAAUUCUGACUUUCGCAAAAGUAAACGACCAGACUUUAAAACUCAAUGAAGUUAAAUUUCAUGCAAAAUAAAACUGCCAAAAAUAGCCUAGAAAGAAAAGGUUUGAAGAUGUGAACCAGGAAUAUUUUCACAAAGCAGAUAGGGUAGCAGAAAAUGCCAAAUGGCUAAAAUUGGUAACUGCAAAAAUAAUACUAAAAAAAGACUGCUGGCUGUUACGGUUGCCUGCGAUUCAAACGACAUGCAGUUCGUGGAGUCCCUGGCUGUAGCUUCUUCAGCAUGUCACAGCUGCUGAAAACCCGGCAGGUUUAAAACAUCACCAGGCGAAAGAAGACGAACGACGAACCGUCAAAUUAUCAAGGUCAUCCCUCGCUCAUCAUCCAAGAUUGAGCGAAAUAUCCUCUGUUUUUCCAGCUGUUCGAUAUUAUUGAUCAUAUUCAUACAAACUGCGAUAAAGCAUAGGUUAGGUCAGGAAGAGGAAAAAUGUAUUUUUUCCUGUUGAAUCAUCAUUGAGUUAAGUCUCUAGGCAGUGUUUGUAUUGUAUGUUGUAGUUUGAAAGCAGAUAUGAAUUAAUUAAGAACAAAUCGAUUCUGAUCCAGGAGCCGUACGCAAUCUGUUACAAUGGAUAAAAAUCAGAGAACUGUUGACAGAAACUGGUCUGUUAACCGUUCCCGCCCUCCCUGAGCGAAAGAGUAGAUAGGGCGGGAAGAUGAGAGACCCUGGAAACGAAGUUGGGAACCCCUCACCCGGGUAAGGAAGUCGGGGACCCCACAGUGGGAGUCAAAUAAUUUCUCCUUGAUCUGAUCGCAGUCUACUCAAUAUUCUGUUUUCUUUCCGUUGAAAAUCCCUGCCGAUUUUCAUAAAUUAUGUAUUUUUCGGGAUCUUUCAUUUUCAUACUUUGUCUGCUUUAAGAGUCGUUGCGGAGCUAUGAAUUUAUCAUGAGGUCCAAUAACAAACACUGAAAGUAAAAGUGUUUGUUAUCUGAUAUUUUAACGUUAUAUUAAAUUAUCGGCGAGGCUUUUGCUCAGUAAUCCAUGGUAACUGGCGAAUAAGCAAUCUAACUUCCACCGGCUGAGGGACACAAAUAACUAUUUUUGAAAAAUGAAUGGAUAUCAGUAAACAUUCAAUUUUCAAAAUAGCAACAUGACAGGCGAAAGGAAUUCUAUAGAAAUAGAGAAAUAUAUGCCUUUAUGAUAUAUAUAGCUAGUAAUAUGCGGUAAAGUUGAACUGAACACGUCUGUAUGCAAGCAGUCCAUGUAUGACCAUGUAUAGCCAAGACAUCAAAAUAGCGUGACCUCAAUGAGCAAGUGUGACUCGCCUAGCUUAAGUCACGCAUUCUCUGCAUUCUUGACAAUCAAAAUGAAUGUGGAUUCCUUUCGUGCACACUAUUGAUAUAAAUUCUUACAACUUUCUUAACAGUUUAGAAAAAGCUUAUUUCGUGACAGAGUGAAAGCUCAUUUGUACUAAAUUGCCUUCUAUUUGUUUUGAUCCGCGUAAUGUUCCCGGUAACAUGUUCCACACUUUGCAUACGAAGAAUGCUCCAUCGCCCAUCGCUAUUUUUUUUCGAUUGAAAGCCAAAGCAAUUAGGCUCAUUUGUAUGCAUGUAUGAGUGACAUGUUUGUAGUGAUUCUGUAAUGAAAAUAAAUUGACUUCAACUUGGA